rnacentral:lncRNA from 1 species
AUGAGGUGUGGUCCUUUACGUGACUAUGGAGAGCAGACUUUCAUGGACAAGUUUGAACUCGGAGAAGCCGCCUGCAGACGUUGGCAACACCACAAACCACUAACACGCAGUGUGUACUUGACAGAACUGUCCAAACAAAGGGAGUCUUAUUUAUUGUACAAUAAGAUGGAAAAUGUUGCUUGGCUGCACAGUAAGAGGUUUAUAGCAAAGCUGUGUCCUCUAGUUUGGAUACUGGACUCCACCCUCACUGAGGCUGUUACCAAACCAGAUCCACAGGGAAGCCAAGCAGAGGUCUUCAGAGAAGAGUUUAACGGCCGCUGAAUUACAAGAGAAAAGAUACAUCCAAAGUAAGUAAUAAGCUUUGUUUUUGUGCAAGUUUAGAAGCGAUUCACAUUGUUCAAAUGACAAGCAACUCGUCAGCAUUUGCGCUACAAAAAUGUUUUCAUUAUAACAUCCUUGUUUCCGUUCACUUACCCUGACCUGUCAUUUCUACUAGAUCGAAUCGAUUUUAUUGAUCACUAAUUAAAGGGAAAGUGGCUGAACUGUUUAAUUAGCUUACGUUUAAGAUUGUAGUCUGCUGAUUUUUAUUUUUAAUGUGAAAUCUAUUUAGACUAUUUUAUGCGCUGUUUUAAUAUGGUAGCCUACAUUAUUACAAAUAUUCCAGCGUUUACAAAAGGAGAAAAAAAAUGAAAUAUUUUAUAAUUAUUUUAUAGAUUUUGAGUGCUGGAGAAAAACUUAAGUGCGAUUGACGAUUAAAAAGGAAAAUCGCUGAUAACAAUAGCCUAACAAAGAAACUAAGGACACAAAGUAGCGAGAAAGAGAGCUGCACUGGUUUAACUUCGAUUAGUUUACACAAAACAGUAGAACUGACUAGAUUCAACACAUGUGAAUGUAGCUACUUAAAAUAUCAUCAAAUGUUAAAGAGCUGAUGGCACGCGUGGUCUUUGUAAGCUUACAUCCAUUCGGUUGAGGAAGACAUUAUAUGGGGGAUGUUUAUUAAAGGAAAAACUAUAAAACUGUUAUAAAAAUAUAAAUAUAGAUAGAGCAAUGAUUUUUUGCCUUUUCUGAUAGUGAUGAAUGGUGUGAUGGCCUAUCGUGCAUGAAACAUUUUAUGAUUUGAACACCGUUAUAAAACAUUUAAAGGGAUAGUUCACACACACACACACACACACACAAUUAAAAUUCAGUCAUCAUUUACUCACCUUCAUGUCCAUUCAACCCUGUUUGAUUUGUUAUGGAUAUUAAGUUCCAAAAUAAAAAAAUGCAUCAUGAAUGCAUCAUACGAUCCAUACGACUUGUGCACUAGUCUUCUGAAG